rnacentral:rRNA from 1 species
UGAACAUGCAGUCGAACGGCAGCGCGGGGGCAACCCUGGCGGCGAGUGGCGAACGGGUGAGUAAAGUAUCGGAACGUGCCUAGGAGUGGGGGAUAACUAGUCGAAAGAUUAGCUAAUACCGCAUACGCCCUGUGGGGGAAAGUGGGGGAUCGCAAGACCUCAUGCUUUUAGAGCGGCCGAUAUCUGAUUAGCUAGUUGGUAGGGUAAAAGCCUACCAAGGCGACGAUCAGUAGCUGGUCUGAGAGGACGACCAGCCACACUGGGACUGAGACACGGCCCAGACUCCUACGGGAGGCAGCAGUGGGGAAUUUUGGACAAUGGGGGCAACCCUGAUCCAGCAAUGCCGCGUGUGUGAAGAAGGCCUUCGGGUUGUAAAGCACUUUUGUCCGGGAAGAAAUCCCUUGAGCUAAUAUCUCGGGGGGAUGACGGUACUGGAAGAAUAAGCACCGGCUAACUACGUGCCAGCAGCCGCGGUAAUACGUAGGGUGCGAGCGUUAAUCGGAAUUACUGGGCGUAAAGCGUGCGCAGGCGGUUGUGCAAGACAGAUGUGAAAUCCCCGGGCUCAACCUGGGAACUGCAUUUGUGACUGCACGGCUAGAGUGUGUCAGAGGGGGGUAGAAUUCCACGUGUAGCAGUGAAAUGCGUAGAUAUGUGGAGGAACACCGAUGGCGAAGGCAGCCCCCUGGGAUAACACUGACGCUCAUGCACGAAAGCGUGGGGAGCAAACAGGAUUAGAUACCCUGGUAGUCCACGCCCUAAACGAUGUCAACUAGUUGUCGGGUCUUAAUUGACUUGGUAACGCAGCUAACGCGUGAAGUUGACCGCCUGGGGAGUACGGUCGCAAGAUUAAAACUCAAAGGAAUUGACGGGGACCCGCACAAGCGGUGGAUGAUGUGGAUUAAUUCGAUGCACGCGAAAAACCUUACCUACCCUUGACAUGGUCGGAAUCCUGAAGAGAUCUGGGAGUGCUCGAAAGAGAACCGGCGCACAGUGCUGCAUGGCUGUCGUCAGCUCGUGUCGUGAGAU